UACGGGGGGUGCAAGCGUUGUUCGGAAUCAUUGGGCGUAAAGAGCGUGUAGGCGGUUGGACAAGUCAGAUGUGAAAGCCCUGGGCUUAACUCAGGAAGUGCAUUUGAAACUGUUCAGCUGGAGUAAGGGAGAGGAAAGUGGAAUUCCUGGUGGAGAGGUGAAAUUCGUAGCUCGCAGGAGGAACACCGGUGGCGAAGGCGACUUUCUGGCCCUAUACUUACGCUGAGAAGCGCGAGCGUGGUUAGCCAACAGUAUUAGAUACCCGCGUAGUCC
rnacentral:rRNA from 1 species